rnacentral:rRNA from 1 species
CGGGAGGCAGCAGUGGGGAAUUUUGCGCAAUGGGGGAAACCCUGACGCAGCAACGCCGCGUGGGUGAUGAAGGCCUUCGGGUCGUAAAGCUCUGUCUGGAGGGAAGAAAUGAUUGGGAGCUAAUACCUCUUGAUCUUGACGGUACCUCUGAAGGAAGCACCGGCUAACUCCGUGCCAGCAGCCGCGGUAAUACGGAGGGUGCAAGCGUUGUUCGGAAUUAUUGGGCGUAAAGCGCGUGUAGGCGGUCUUUUAAGUCUGAUGUGAAAGCCCCGGGCUCAACCUGGGAAGUGCAUUGGAAACUGGGAGGCUUGAGUACGGGAGAGGAGAGUGGAAUUCCUAGUGUAGGAGUGAAAUCCGUAGAUAUUAGGAGGAACACCGGUGGCGAAGGCGGCUCUCUGGACCGAUACUGACGCUGAGACGCGAAAGCGUGGGUAGCAAACAGGAUUAGAUACCCUGGUAGUCCACGCCGUAAACGAUGAGUACUAGGUGUUGCGGGUAUUGACCCCUGCAGUGCCGUAGCUAACGCAUUAAGUACUCCGCCUGGGAAGUACGGUCGCAAGACUAAAACUCAAAGGAAUUGACGGA